rnacentral:tRNA from 1 species
GCCUUAUAUUUACUGGGUUUGUGGCGAUUUCUUACUCUUUGAUCAACGUCGAUAAAUGUCGCAUCUUGAUGAUUUGUAAUCAUCAGGUGGCGGGUUCGAGUCCUGCAGCCGGCACCA